AUGGCUCAGGAUGAACGCUGGCGGCGUGCCUAAUACAUGCAAGUCGAACGAAACUUCUUUAUCACCGAGUGCUUGCACUCACCGAUAAAGAGUUGAGUGGCGAACGGGUGAGUAACACGUGGGCAACCUGCCCGAGAGAGGGGGAUAACACUUGGAAACAGGUGCUAAUACCGCAUAACCAUGAAUACCGCAUGGUAUUUAUGUGAAAGGUGGUUUCGGCUACCGCUUUCGGAUGGGCCCGCGGCGCAUUAGCUAGUUGGUGGGGUAAAGGCUUACCAAGGCAAUGAUGCGUAGCCGAACUGGGAGGUUGAUCGGCCACAUUGGGACUGAGACACGGCCCAAACUCCUACGGGAGGCAGCAGUAGGGAAUCUUCCACAAUGGGCGAAAGCCUGAUGGAGCAACGCCGCGUGGGUGAAGAAGGUCUUCGGAUCGUAAAACCCUGUUGUCAGAGAAGAAAGUGCAUGAGAGUAACUGUUCAUGUUUCGACGGUAUCUGACCAGAAAGCCACGGCUAACUACGUGCCAGCAGCCGCGGUAAUACGUAGGUGGCAAGCGUUAUCCGGAUUUAUUGGGCGUAAAGGGAACGCAGGCGGUCUUUUAAGUCUGAUGUGAAAGCCUUCGGCUUAACCGGAGUAGUGCAUUGGAAACUGGGAGACUCGAGUGCAGAAGAGGAGAGUGGAACUCCAUGUGUAGCGGUGAAAUGCGUAGAUAUAUGGAAGAACACCAGUGGCGAAAGCGGCUCUCUGGUCUGUAACUGACGCUGAGGCUCGAAAGCGUGGGUAGCAAACAGGAUUAGAUACCCUGGUAGUCCACGCCGUAAACGAUGAAUGCUAAGUGUUGGAGGGUUUCCGCCCUUCAGUGCUGCAGUUAACACAAUAAGCAUUCCGCCUGGGGAGUACGACCGCAAGGUUGCAACUCAAAUGAAUUGACGGA
rnacentral:rRNA from 1 species